rnacentral:rRNA from 1 species
UACGUAGGGGACAAGCGUUGUCCGGAAUCACUGGGCGUAAAGGGCACGUAGGCGGUUUAUUAAGUCUGAUGUGAAAGGUCUCGGCUCAACCGAGGACAUGCAUUGGAAACUGGUAGACUUGAGUACUGGAGAGGCAAGUGGAAUUCCUAGUGUAGCGGUGAAAUGCGUAGAUAUUAGGAGGAACACCGGUGGCGAAGGCGGCUUGCUGGACAGAUACUGACGCUGAGGUGCGAAAGCGUGGGGAGCAAAC